rnacentral:rRNA from 1 species
AUUGAACGCUGGCGGAAUGCUUUACACAUGCAAGUCGAACGGCAGCACGGACUUCGGUCUGGUGGCGAGUGGCGAACGGGUGAGUAAUGUAUCGGAACGUGCCCAGUCGUGGGGGAUAACGUAGUGAAAAUUACGCUAAUACCGCAUACGAUCUAUGGAUGAAAGCGGGGGAUCGCAAGACCUCGCGCGAUUGGAGCGGCCGAUAUCAGAUAAGGUAGUUGGUGGGGUAAAGGCCCACCAAGCCAACGAUCUGUAGCUGGUCUGAGAGGACGACCAGUCACACUGGAACUGAGACACGGGCCAGACUCCUACGGGAGGCAGCAGUGGGGAAUUUUGGACAAUGGGCGAAAGCCUGAUCCAGCCAUUCCGCGUGCAGGAUGAAGGCCCUCGGGUUGUAAACUGCUUUUGUACAGAACGAAAAGGUUUCUACUAAUACUAGGAGCUCAUGACGGUACUGUAAGAAUAAGCACCGGCUAACUACGUGCCAGCCGCCGCCGUAA